rnacentral:lncRNA from 1 species
GUACUAGCGGCAGGCGGGCAGCGGCCGCCCCUCCCAGCCCACCAGCUGGCCACUAAAAGCUCCCGGUUGCCAAGGACUUCCUUCUUAAGGUUUUGAUCAAGUUAGAUGCACUGCUCAGAAGACAAAUGGCAUCACAGAACAAAUUUGAAAGAAGUUUCAGGAAAACAGCUGCAUUAGAAGACCAAGGGAUUUCCAGGAACAAGAUGAGAAGAGUAUUUUACUGUAUCAAACAUGUUCUUUAUUACAACUCGGGGCAACUAAAAACAGUCACUACAGCUGGUUACCAAUUAAGUCCCUACCAAAAAAAAGAAUAACCUUUAGAUCUCUCUUUAAUGAGGAUAAAAAUGUGUUUAUACUGA